AUCCAGCAAUGCCGCGUGUGUGAUGAAGGCCUUAGGGUUGUAAAGCACUUUCACUGGUGAAGAUGAUGACUGUACCCGAAUAAGAAGGUCCGGCUAACUUCGUGCCAGCAGCCGCGGUAAUACGAAGGGACCUAGCGUAGUUCGGAAUUACUGGGCUUAAAGAGUUCGUAGGUGGUUGAAAAAGUUAGUGGUGAAAUCCCAGAGCUUAACUCUGGAACUGCCAUUAAAACUUUUCAGCUAGAGUAUGAUAGAGGAAAGCAGAAUUUCUAGUGUAGAGGUGAAAUUCGUAGAUAUUAGAAAGAAUACCAAUUGCGAAGGCAGCUUUCUGGAUCAUUACUGACACUGAGGAACGAAAGCAUGGGUAGCGAAGAGGAUUAGAUACCCUCGUAGUCCAUGCCGUAAACGAUGUGUGUUAGACGUUGGAAAUUUAUUUUCAGUGUCGCAGGGAAACCGAUAAACACACCGCCUGGGGAGUACGACCGCAAGGUUAAAACUCAAAUGAAUUGACGGGGACCCGCACAAGUAGUGGAGCAUGUGGUUUAAUUCGAAGAUACGCGCAGAACCUUACCAACACUUGACAUGUUCGUCGCGACUCUAAGAGAUUAGAGUUUUCGGUUCGGCCGGACGAAACACAGGUGCUGCAUGGCUGUCGUCAGCUCGUGUCGUGAGAUGUUGGGUUAAGUCCCGCAACGAGCGCAACCCUCACUUUUAGUUGCCAUCAUUAAGUUGGGCACUCUGAAAGAACUGCCAGUGAUAAGCUGGAGGAAGGUGGGGAUGACGUCAAGUCCUCAUGGCCCUUACGUGUUGGGCUACACACGUGCUACAAUGGUAUCUACAACAGGAAGCAAGACUGCGAAGUUAAGCAAAUCCCUAAAAGAUACCUCAGUUCGGAUUGCACUCUGCAACUCGAGUGCAUGAAGCUGGAAUUACUAGUAAUCGUGGAUCAGCGUGCCACGGUGAAUGCGUUCCCGGGUCUUGUACACACCGCCCGUCACACCAUGGGAGUUGGUUCUACCUUAAGGCAAGGUUUCAAACCCUUGACCACGGUAUAGUCAGCGACUGGGGUGAAGUCGUAACAAGGUAACCGUA
rnacentral:rRNA from 1 species